CCUUUUGAGAUUAAUUUAAGGUCUAAUCUGCCCACUGAUUAAUUAAAGGGCCGCGGUAUUUUGACCGUGCGAAUGUAGCAUAAUCAUUAGUUUUUUAAUUGAAAGCUGGAAUGAAUGAUUGGAUGAGAAAAUAACUGUCUCAAGUUAAUUUUGUUAGAAUUUUAUUUUUAAGUCAAAAAGCUUAAAUAAUUUUAAAAGACGAGAAGACCCUAUAGAGUUUUAUAUUUUUAAAAAUUAAAAAUUAAUUGUUUUUAUAAAUUUUUAAUUUUAAAAUUAUUUUGUUGGGGUGACAGAAAAAUUUAAUAAACUUUUUUUUUAUUUUUAUACUUAUAAGUAAAUUAUUGAUCCAAUUAUUUUGAUUAUAAGAUUAAAUUACCUUAGGGAUAACAGCGUAAUUUUUUUUGAGAGUUCUUAUCGAAAAAAAAGAUUGCGACCUCGAUGUUGGAUUAAAAUUAAGUUUUGGUGUAGAAGCUAAAAUUUUAGGUCUGUUCGACCUUUAAAACUUU
rnacentral:rRNA from 1 species